rnacentral:sRNA from 1 species
AUGGAGAAGUACGAGCGGAUCCGAGUGGUGGGAAGAGGUGCCUUCGGGAUUGUGCACCUGUGCCUGCGAAAGGCUGACCAGAAGCUGGUGAUCAUCAAGCAGAUUCCAGUGGAACAGAUGACCAAGGAAGAGCGGCAGGCAGCCCAGAAUGAGUGCCAGGUCCUCAAGCUGCUCAACCACCCCAAUGUCAUUGAGUACUACGAGAACUUCCUAGAAGACAAAGCCCUCAUGAUCGCCAUGGAAUAUGCACCAGGUGGGCCAGCCUCCUUAUAGUGGCCUGGCUGGAGGGGCCUCUUAUCUCUGGGACAGGCAGACACAGAUCACCUGGCUUCCCUCCUUGGAAUGGGCAUGGCCAAGGGUUAGAGUUCUGGUCCCAAUUAUCUGACCUUGGCUAGCCCCUUGUCCUCUGGUCCCAGUGCCCUGUUCCAUACAUAAAAGGAGAGGGGUUGUCGGCUGGGCACGGUGGCUCACGCCUGUAAUCUCAGCACUUUGGGAGGCCGAGGCCGAGGCGGGCGGAUCAAGAGGUCAGGAGAUCGAGACCAUCCUGGCUAAUACAGGGAAACCCCGUCUCUACUAAAAAUACAAAAAG